GUGUCAGCAGCCGCGGUAAAACGUAGGAGCCAAGCGUUAUCCGAAUUCACUGGGCGUAAAGCGCGUGCAGGCGGCCUGAUAAGUUGGAUGUGAAAUCUCCUGGCUCAACUGGGAGAGGCCGUUCAAGACUGUCGGGCUCGAGGGCGACAGAGGGAGGUGGAAUUCCGGGUGUAGUGGUGAAAUGCGUAGAUAUCCGGAGGAACACCAGAGGCGAAGGCGACCUCCUGGGUCGUACCUGACGCUGAGAUGCGAAAGCUAGGGGAGCAAACGGGAUUAGAAACCCGGGUAGUCC
rnacentral:rRNA from 1 species